rnacentral:rRNA from 1 species
CAAGGAAUUUUGGGCAAUGGGCGAAAGCCUGACCCAGCGACACCGCGUGAGGGAAUAAGGCCUUCGGGUUGUAAACCUCUUUUCCUGGGGAAGAAUCUCGACGGUACCCAGGGAAUAAGCCUCGGCCAACUACGUGCCAGCAGCCGCGGUAAUACGUAGGAGGCGAACGUUAUUCGGAUUUACUGGGCGUAAAGGGAGCGUAGGCGGUUCCUUAAGUCGGAUGUGAAAUCUUCUGGCUCAAUCGGAAGGCGCCAUUUGAUACUGAGGAACUUGAGAGCAGCAGAGGGAAAUGGAAUCUGCAGUGUAGCGGUGAAAUGCGUAGAUAUUGCAGAGAACACCAGUGGCGAAGGCGGUUUUCCAGGCUGUUUCUGACGCUGAGGCUCGAAAGCGUGGGGAGCGAAGCGGAUUAGAUACCCGCGUAGUCCACGCCCUAAACGGUGGACACUAGAUAUAGGAGGUAUCGACCCUUUCUGUGUCGAAGCUAACGCUUUAAGUGUCCCGCCUGGGGAGUACGGCCGCAAGGCUG